rnacentral:lncRNA from 1 species
AUUUUCUACAGCAGCUGCCAGCUGGCUGUGUUGCACUACAGCAUCCUUAACGUCCUUGAGGUUUUCAAUGGCGUUGAUGCUCUGUCUCCAGUCUUUAUUGACAUCUAUCAAAGACUGCUGAAUGUCCUUUACAUCAUUCAGUGCAUUGUGCAGCUGACUUAAACCUGUCCGUACUCCAUCUAGCUGUGACUGGAUUGCUGCCUUGAGUCGAG